rnacentral:misc_RNA from 1 species
AGAGUUGCAAAACUCCCACAAACCAUCGCGAACGUUACCACCAUAAAGUUGCUUCGGCGCGCCGCUCCCGGUACACCGGGCCCGCCGGAGUGACCGUAUACAACUCUGUAUUAUAACCAGGCCUUACAUCUGAGUACUAGUACUGUAAUAAGUCA